rnacentral:lncRNA from 1 species
ACAUGUGCUGCCGCCUGUGACCUAAUAUGUGACUGUGCCGAGCGGCGAGUCUAGUGUGAUUUCGCGUCAGUUCAGAAGUGGGUUUUCAGCUCCUUCCCCCGCUGAUGGGGUCCCACUAAGCAAAGAGGGCUGCUCGUGUGAGUCUUGAGAAAGGCGUCCGGGGCUUUGGCCCAUCCCUUGAACUGACUUUUGGAGUCUGAGGACACAGACAGUGACGUGACACGUUAGAGCGGAAGGUAACCCACAUUCUACUUGAGCUGAGCCUGUGUGAGAGAACAGUGUGGGAAGAAACUGGUACCUUGCCAGAAAGGACGCAUGUACCUUAUUAAAUCCAGAUAAGACACCAGAUCUCCCAACUCGAACACCAGUUUUACAGCAUUUUUUUUUCAUUGAAGUGUUGCCAUUGGUUUCACUUACUGUGCCGUCUGCUUCACGUCUGAGGAUUUAACUAGAUCAGGCUGUGAGCUGUGCUUUAAUACGGGUUCCCCUUUUCCAGGGCUUUGGACCUCUGAGGUUCAGCUGAAGACUGGUGUGGUGUAAAUUUGCUCUCUUGAUCCGUUGAUGACAGCUUCCAGGCUGGCCGCUUCCUUUCUGACUCUGGGGCACCUCUUGUAUCCCCGAUGGACCUGCUCUUUCUCCGUCCUGGGGGUCUCCUGUGGAGGCCCGUUUGCAGGAAGAGCUUUGUGUGAAAAGAAGGAAGGUGCUAAGAGGAAAGAGCCAACCAUGGGAGGGCUUUGUUGCCCUGGAGCUCUUGCCAGGCUCUUUUCCAGGGCACUUACAGUGCAAAGCAGGUGGGCUGUGCUCUCACCUUAAGCCAGGGUUGAAAGGGGGCAAGCUCAUCUCUGCUCCUCUAGACAGAAACCAUAGACAGAGACUACAGAAGGCUCGGUGUGCAAACUGAAAAUGGUAAAAAAAGAUGAUAAACCACAUUACUGUGAGUGCAUCAUGCUGGAUUAAAAAUUUAUCAGCAUCAAACCACAUAAGCCUGUUAAAACAUUUAGCAAAGACUGUAGUUUUGUGUAUGUAGGGUUAACUCCUGAAGUGUGCACUCAUCUUCAGUUUGCACUCAUCUUUUUCCUUUUCUUUUUAAUGAUGUCCUCCUUUCAAAUCAAAGAGCGUAUCUUAGAUUCUGGAAACUUGAAAUGUCGGAGUUCUCUUGUGGCGCGGAGGUUAGGAUUUGCUGUUGUCAUUAGAGCAGCCUGGGUCAGUGCUGUGGCUCAGGUUUGAUCCCUGGCCUGGGAACUUCCACAUGCCAGGGGCAAGGCCAAAAUAGAUAAAACAGAAUAUGCAAAAUAAAUUUUCCAAGUCAGUCUAACUGCACCUUUUAAAGGAGACAAUAUAAUACAGUAAGGAAGUCUGGCUUAACAAGGAUAAAGGAAAAACAAGGGACUGGACUGGAUUCAUGCAACAUAAUUUUUAAAAUAAAUCUCUGGCAUCUACAUUCUCAUUCUUCCUCAUAUUUUAGCCCUCAUUAUUAAAAUAUAAUUAUAUAAUAUUUUAUACCUUUAUUUCCUCGUGUUUCCCUCUAGGUCAUUUUCACUUCCCGUCAACAAUGAAAAUAGAGGGAUGCUGGAACUCCACAGAUAACUACAAAAAAUACGGUUUUGAGACAUCUGACUUCCGCAGCCUUCAUUUUGGUCAAAAUACUUUUCACCAGUUUUCUUGAGGACUGAUCAUCACACUCGUGUGUCAUCACACUUUUGAUAUUCAGCUCUUUCGUGUGAGGACCUACCCUAUUCUCACUCUUGCUCCCUCUGGUCUGACCAUCAGCCCCCGUGUGUGCCGGAGGCACAGGCUCAGCACACUUCUCUCACAUGACCCCGCAGGCUCCCGCAAAUCUUCCAGCUCGUGAAAGAGUUGCAAUUUCAGUUUGCACUCAUCUUUUUCCUUUUCUUUUUAAUGAUGUUUAUUUUGUCCAUUACAGCCGAUUUACAGUGUUCUGUCAAUUUUCUACUGCAUAUCCAGGUGACCCAGUCACACAGACGUGUGUAUGCAUUCUUUUUUCUCACAUUAUCAGGCUCCAUCACAAGCGACCAGACACAGUUCCCAGUGGUAUACAGCAGGAUCCCAUUGCUUACCCAUUCCAAAGGCAAUAGUUUGCAUCUAAUAACCCCAAAUUCCCAGGCCCUCCCACUCGGUUUGCACACAAUUGGCAUUGAGUUUUGCCUUAAUUUCCUUCGGGAAAAUGUGUUACAAGGACUUCUGUUCUCCUUCUGUCGUGUAACUAGGGCAUCGGAUACUGAAUCCUCAGAGCAUUUCCGCUGAGAUGAAUUUGAACGCAGUAAAUGUCAGCAUUGUGAUGUCAGCAGUAAAGUGAGUUAAUAGUAUUCUAGCAGAGGUGAGUUUAGCCCAACCUCUUUUCCUGGAUCAGAGGGGCAGUGACCACUACAGAGCCGUCAGGAGUCUUUUCUUCCAAGGGCAGACUGAGGUGGGAUGGGUCAGAGGGGGACAGAGGACCUGCAUUUGAGCCUAAGAGUAGGAGUUCUGCUUUUCUUUCCAUUGAAUGAUUUCUCUAUGACAGCUUUCUGUUCUGGGUCUUUCGCUGUCUGUGUAAACAUAUUUUGGACCAGUACUUAGCAAAUACUCCCAUGUCCGAGUCAGCAGGAGAUUGUUAGGGCAGGUCUGAGUCCUCACGCCUGAGAUCUGCUUUCUAACCAUCUUCCUCCGGUGCUGCGGAUGCUGGUCUGAACUUCACACCUGUAGCAGCGAUGCUGUGACCCACCUUUCUGCUGCUCGUGGGCUUCACCGUCCAACCAACAUGUGGCCAGGCCCAUGGUCCUGAGACAUGAGCCUGCCUUUGAAUCUCCGGAAGGGCUCAGAAAACAAUGAUUGCUGCUCCCCGCCCCAAGUUUCUAGCUAUCAUCCCCUUUUUCUUUCACAAUACUUCAAGCAAGGUGUUACUAUCGCCAUUCUACAGAUGACAAAACUUAAAGCUGGGAGAGGUUCAUUGUCCUGCACGAGGUCCCCCAGUUCACAAGCUGCCCGAGGCCAGGGGGAAGGUGGGGUUCACCGCUUCCUGUUUCAGGGGAGGAGGCGCAGCUGCAAGCCUUCCCGGGAGGCAGAUGCGUCCCAGCAGAGAUUAUGGGUGAGGCUUACCCAUCUCUGCCCGAUUCCUCUCACCCUGAUGAGGAGGAGCAGGGCAAGGGGAGGUGGCUCCUGGCUCACUCGAAGGAGAGGCACAGGCGGGGCCGACCCCUCGGGCCCUGGUUCUCAAAGUGCACCAGUAGCAUCAGCGCCACUUGGGAAGACGGUGACAUCCAUUCCUGAGUCCCACCCCAAACCCUCCCGCUGGCGAGUUUCAGUGACCCUUGUGACGUCACUAAUGCACACGGAUAUCUACAUCUUAGCAUAUACACACAUGUAUUCCUGUACACAUCAGUGCACACCCGUGCAACAUCUAUAGCCACACACACUAGUGUGUAUCUGUACGCAUUAGUGUACAUGCACAAUGGGUAUACACACAACUGGCACUUCGAAGUAAGCGGGAGCAGGGGUGGGCAGGCUCUGCGUAUCGCGGGCCGUUACCUCUGCUUUGACUGCUCCUAAAAUUCAACAUGCUUCUGAACUGUCCAUUGAAAACCACAGGGUUUUAGGAGAAUGCGGUUGGGGCCACGACACUCAAACAUUUUAUGUGACACAUCAUAGGAGGAUAGUAACUCAAAAACAGCAGCCCUAUUUGUCCAUGUUAACUGGUUCAGAAAUACGUGGACACUACAAUAGUGCAUUGCUUCCGAAAGGUCACCUUGAAAACACCUGAAGGGGGCUUGUGCAGGUGAGUGCCCACAAUCCUGGGAGGUCCACCAUACCCACCACCCCAUCUGCAAGGGGUGAUGGGGAGCGGGGGAGAGAGAGACUCCAGGAACAAAAGAACAGAAAACAAAGGAGAAAAUACAAAAUUGGGGCGAGUAAAGGGGAAACUGAGGAGAGGGAGGCCCCAGAGCUCCUGGGAAAGGGGGGCAGCCAAUGUGCCAGAGCAGGGCUGGCAGAAGGGUCUCCUGAAACCAGAAGGAACGUUUACCCCCAGAUUCAGCAGGUGUGGCUCAACACCCUGGUGAAGGAGUGUGUGUGCCAUUUGCGUGUUCCUGCUUCAGUUACCUGGGUUCUCAGGGGUGAAAUGUGGGUGAACAAACCGAAAUUCAUGUCAUGCUCAAGUUGUACCCUAAUGUGUCCAUCACACUGGAAUAAAUCCUUGUUUUCAAAACAGAUGUCAGAGCAGAACUGGCUGCAUUUACACCAUGGAAAUGGGCACUUCCUUCAAGUCAGGGCUUUUCCCUCCUGGAGCAUCUGUUAAAUACUCACUAGCACACUGCUGACUGUAAAACACCCAGUGGAGUGGUUGGUGUACUAAGUGCCUAAUGCAUGGGCAGAAGUGAUGCACUUUUCCCGGGUGAAAGUCAAGUGGGAUUCAUGGAAUGAACUGAAACUAGAGGGAGACAAGGCAAAGCAGGUGCCCCAGGGCUGGAGCAGGGCUGCCAGUCCAGGGGAGCGGGUGUGGGGAGCCCCUCCGCAGACAGAGAGGGAAUAAUAACUUUGGAACACGUCUACCUCCACUCUCCCCGGCAGGUGCAAAGAGACACCAAAGAUAAAGUGUCACAAAUUCUUCGCAUCUUUUGUAAUUAUUUUCAAGGUGGAAACAAAACAGGGAAUGAUAAUAAGCUCCAGGGAGACUUUAAUUAUUUUGUGAAGGUAUUUUUUUUUAAUCAUAAAUUGGCAUUUUAAACUCUCCUGCCAACUCCCAGUGCAUAUAUAGUUUACUACAAUGUGCUCGUUGGCAAGCCUGAAUGAGCAGACAUGUAUUGAACAAAGUUUUUAUGAGGAAAACCAAAACGUGCAUGUUUUUAAGAUGCUUGCCAUCAAGCACGAGGAGUAAGAUCUAACUUGUCAAUCUCCAUGCAAGCAGCAUAUGGUGAGAUGAAAGCCACAGGGAUGCAGAAAACAGCAGAGACCACAUGAGGCAGAAGAGACCCCUCUGCCUGGAGUCUCUGAGAAGGAAGGCAUCGCGUGGGAUGUGGUGCUGGAGUCCAGCCUUGAGGAAGAGCGGAAAUGACAGAUGUAAGGGGUCUGGCUCCCACGUGGAGGAACGGCGGGGCGUGGAGCUGUUUUUAGGGACUGGAUUAAGAUUGGCUUGGACGGAUGGUUUGUGAAGGGGGUACCCCUGUGCCUCUUACAAGACAGUACUUUCCUCGCUGCGGACGUGGGGAGAUUUCUGUGGGUUUCAGGCAGCCUUGUGUCCAUUUCCUCACUACAGGUUUACUGUUAAUUUGCUGAUCUUCAUUCUAAGUGAUUGUCUUCUCAUGUCGUCCUUGCAACAACCCUAUGACGUCGGCAAUAUUGCUGGCCUUCAUGUGAGGGAAAACUGAGGCAGGGAGAAUGUAAGUAACGUGCCUGGAAUCACAGUUUCAGAUUUGAGUGCAAAUCCCGGUCUGGCGCCUAAUCUUUUCGCUCCACUGCCUCCCCUGCUUUGAGUUCCACCGAGAAGCACCGGAGCAUGUCUGCAGGCUGUCUUCAGGUUGAGGGUGGAUGAUGUUUCUUGAGAAGACGCUACGAAGACGAAACAAUUUACAUUCUGUUUUUAAUUGAAAAAAGGUGGCCAUUAUUGCAUUACAAUUUGGAGGAAAUUGCCUUUAUUCCUACAUUUCAUUAAUGACAAAGGUUCCUGGAUUGUUCAUACCAUUAAUUCAUUCCAAUGAUCUCAUCUCACAAUUCCCACUGUGGCUCAGGAGGUUAAGCUCUGUGAGGAUGCGGGUUCCAUCCCUGGCCUCGCUCAGUGGGUUAAGAAUCCUUCAUGGCCAUAAGCUGUGGUGUAGGUGGCAGAUGCGGCUCAGAUCCAGCGUGUGGUGGCUGUGGCAUAAGCUGGCAGCUGAAAUUCCAAUUCAACCCCUAGCCUGGGAAUCCAUAUGCUGCAGCAGGUGCAGU